UACAGAGGUCUCAAGCGUUGUUCGGAUUCAUUGGGCGUAAAGGGUGCGUAGGCGGCGCGGUAAGUCGGGUGUGAAAUCUCGGAGCUUAACUCCGAAACUGCAUUCGAUACUGCCGUGCUUGAGGACUGGAGAGGAGACUGGAAUUUACGGUGUAGCGGUGAAAUUCGUAGAUAUUCGCAAGAACACCAGUGGCGAAGGCGGCUCACUGGUCCGGUACUGACGCUGAGGUGCGAAAGCGUGGUGAGCAAACAGG
rnacentral:rRNA from 1 species